AGGAAUAUUGGUCAAUGGGCGGAAGCCUGAACCAGCCAUCCCGCGUGCAGGAAGACGGCCCUAUGGGUUGUAAACUGCUUUUCCAGGGGGAGAAACUUUCCGAUGAAUCGGGAUUUGACGGUACCCUGGGAAUAAGCAUCGGCUAACUCCGUGCCAGCAGCCGCGGUAAUACGGAGGAUGCGAGCGUUAUCCGGAUUUAUUGGGUUUAAAGGGUGCGUAGGCGGAUCGAUAAGUCAGUGGUGAAAACCUGCAGCUUAACUGUAGACUUGCCGUUGAUACUGUUGGUCUUGAGUAUGGUCAAGGUAGGCGGAAUGUGUAAUGUAGCGGUGAAAUGCUUAGAUAUUACACAGAACACCGAUUGCGAAGGCAGCUUACUGGACCAUCACUGACGCUGAUGCACGAAAGCGUGGGGAUCGAACAG
rnacentral:rRNA from 1 species